CUACGGGUUGCUCCAGUGGGGAAUAUUGGACAAUGGGCGCAAGCCUGAUCCAGCAAUGCCGCGUGAGUGAAGACGGCCUUAGGGUUGUAAAACUCUUUCGCUAGGGAAGAUAAUGACUGUACCUAGUAAAGAAGUCCCGGCUAACUCCGUGCCAGCAGCCGCGGUAAUACGGAGGGGACUAGCGUUGUUCGGAAUUACUGGGCGUAAAGAGUUCGUAGGCGGACUGACAAGUUAGAGGUGAAAUCCCAGGGCUCAACCCUGGAACUGCCUUUAAAACUGUCAGUCUAGAGACCGGAAGAGGUUAGGGGAAUACCUAGUGUAGAGGUGAAAUUCGUAGAUAUUAGGUGGAACACCAGUGGCGAAGGCGCCUAACUGGUCCGAUACUGACGCUGAGGUGCGAAAGCGUGGGGAGCAAACAGGAUUAGAUACCCGAGUAGUC
rnacentral:rRNA from 1 species